rnacentral:rRNA from 1 species
UACGUAGGGGGCAAGCGUUGUCCGGAUUUAUUGGGCGUAAAGCGCUCGCAGGUGGCCCGCGGCGUCGUGCGUGAAAGCCCCCGGCUCAACUGGGGGAUGUCGUGCGAUACGGGCGGGCUGGAGGCCAGUAGGGGGAUGCGGAAUUCCGGGUGUAGUGGUGGAAUGCGUAGAGAUCCGGAGGAACACCAGCGGCGAAGGCGGCAUCCUGGACUGGUCCUGACACUCAGGAGCGAAAGCGUGGGGAGCGAUCCGGAUUAGAAACCCGAGUAGUCC